rnacentral:tRNA from 1 species
GCUAUCGUAGCUCAAUGGGUAGAGCAAUACACCUGUAAUGUAUAGAUGCUGGUCCGAUUCCUGCCGAUAGCUCCA